rnacentral:rRNA from 1 species
GUGAGUGAAGAAGGCCUUCGGGGUUGUAAAGCUCUUCAGCAGGAACGAAACGGUGGCCACUAAUACUGGCUACUAAUGACGGUACCUGAAGAAGAAGCACCGGCUAACUACGUGCCAGCAGCCGCGGUAAUACGUAGGGUGCGAGCGUUAAUCGGAAUUACUGGGCGUAAAGCGUGCGCAGGCGGUUCCAUAAGACAGAUGUGAAAUCCCCGGGCUUAACCUGGGAACUGCGUUUGUGACUGUGGGACUCGAGUGUGGCAGAGGGGGUGGAAUUCCACGUGUAGCAGUGAAAUGCGUAGAGAUGUGGAGGAACACCGAUGGCGAAGGCAGCCCCCUGGGUCAACACUGACGCUCAUGCACGAAAGCGUGGGGAGCAAACAGGAUUAGAUACCCUGGUAGUCCACGCCCUAAACGAUGCGAACUAGGUGUUGGGGAAGGAGACUUUCUUAGUACCGCAGCUAACGCGUGAAGUUCGCCGCCUGGGGAGUACGGUCGCAAGAUUAAAACUCAAAGGAAUUGACGGGGAC